CAGACACUCCCCAUCCAACCUGAUAGAGCUUGAGAAGUGCUGCAAAGAGGAAUGGACAAAACUGCCCAAAGAUAGGUGCACCAAGCUUGUGACAUCAUAUUCAAGAAAACCUGAGGCUGUAAUCGCUGCCAAAGAUGCAUCAACAAAUUAUUG